AAUAUGGUCAUGUCGGCCGUUAAAAGUUCGUUGCAAUUAUUUAGGCAAAUGUACAGAGAGUGCUGCAAAUUUUCCAGUUAUAACUUUAGAGAAUAUUCGAAACGAAAAGUGCGUUAUCUCUGGGAAAAAAAUAAGAAUGCUACCGGUGAAGAGCUCAUUGAACUUUUGAAGGUCGCAAGUAAAGAGUUUAAGAGCUUAAAACGCCAAGUUAUUGUUAAUUCACUCUACCCCACUGAAAGCAGAU